CCCUAGCCCCGAUAGGAAUGGCAUCCUUUUUUGUUGCGGCUGGAACGAAGUGGAAGCCGUAACAAAAAAGAUAUAAUGGAUAGCGGGAAAUAGC
rnacentral:sRNA from 1 species